UACGGAGGGUGCAAGCGUUGUUCGGAUUUAUUGGGCGUAAAGCGCGUGUAGGCGGUUUCCUAAGUCUGAUGUGAAAGCCCUGGGCUCAACCCAGGAAGUGCAUUGGAUACUGGGAGACUUGAAUACGGGAGAGGGUAGUGGAAUUCCUAGUGUAGGAGUGAAAUCCGUAGAUAUUAGGAGGAACACCGGUGGCGAAGGCGGCUACCUGGACCGAUAUUGACGCUGAGACGCGAAAGCGUGGGGAGCAAACGGG
rnacentral:rRNA from 1 species